GGCCUCAUAGCUCAGUUAGUUAGAGCGUUGGCUGUACUAAAGCCUUCCUCUUGCUGGCGUGGGUUUGAAUCCCACCGAGCCUG
rnacentral:tRNA from 1 species